GAUGAACGCUGGCGGCGUGCCUAAUACAUGCAAGUCGAGCGAACAGACGAGGAGCUUGCUCCUCUGACGUUAGCGGCGGACGGGUGAGUAACACGUGGAUAACCUACCUAUAAGACUGGGAUAACUUCGGGAAACCGGAGCUAAUACCGGAUAAUAUAUUGAACCGCAUGGUUCAUUAGUGAAAGACGGUUUUGCUGUCACUUAUAGAUGGAUCCGCGCCGCAUUAGCUAGUUGGUAAGGUAACGGCUUACCAAGGCAACGAUGCGUAGCCGACCUGAGAGGGUGAUCGGCCACACUGGAACUGAGACACGGUCCAGACUCCUAAGGGAGGCAGCAGUAGGGAAUCUUCCGAAAUGGGCGAAAGCCUGACGGAGCAACGCCGCGUGAGUGAUGAAGGUCUUCGGAUCGUAAAACUCUGUUAUUAGGGAAGAACAAAUGUGUAAGUAACUAUGCACGUCUUGACGGUACCUAAUCAGAAAGCCACGGCUAACUACGUG
rnacentral:rRNA from 1 species